rnacentral:snoRNA from 1 species
UUGCAUUCUCAAACCCUUUUGCAGCACUGCUCUCUGUGCUUCCAUGAAUGCGAGAGAAAUUACCAAGGAGUCCAAAAGGGUACUUUUCCUGUGGCUCAUUCUUAUUUCACACCCAUGACAUCU